UUUUUCCUUUGCAACACCUCCAUAAUAUUCUUCAACUCUCGCUUCCUCAUUCAAUACUGGCCUGCCUUUUCACAGUGUGAGGUCGAUCUAUGCACCUCACCUUUCCCUUGCUGCUGUUGGAGGAGAGAAGCUGAUCUUUCUCUCUAUAUCUCCCUCAGCUCUCUCCUCCACAGAUCACGGCCUGCAGAGAGACAAGAGUUAGGCUGUUCUACCUGAUCAUAUGCCCCUCCCGCAAUUCUUCCAUCCACAAACAAAUUGAAACAAGAAUUGCUUGCAUAUCCUGUCUGUUUUUUCCUCUAUUUUUUCUCCCCUUUUAUUUCGAUUGUGCAGCUUGUUAGAUAGGUAGAUAGCAACAGCGGAUAUAUCAUGGAGGAAACAAGCUAGCAGCAGCAGAGAGGAGAAAGGAAAAAAAAAGAAUCCUUCAACUUAGUCUCUGCCGCUUCUUCAACGGAUCAUCAGAUCUGUCCUCUUUGUGACCUUAAAGAGGUAACAGCUUGGUAGCCCCCCGGAAAUGGCAUCCCCGUCGAGCACCAGCAACAACUCCGCCCUCUCCCCGGUGGCGGCGUCGGGGACGACGACGCCCGGUGCCGGGGCGCCGUGCGCGGCGUGCAAGUUCCUGCGGCGCAAGUGCCUCCCGGGGUGCGUGUUCGCGCCCUACUUCCCGCCGGAGGAGCCCCAGAAGUUCGCCAACGUGCACAAGGUGUUCGGCGCCAGCAACGUCACCAAGCUACUCAACGAGCUGCUGCCGCACCAGCGUGAGGACGCGGUGAGCUCGCUCGCCUACGAGGCCGAGGCACGCGUCAAGGACCCCGUCUACGGCUGCGUCGGCGCCAUCUCCGUGCUCCAGCGCCAGGUCCACCGCCUCCAGAAGGAGCUCGACGCCGCGCACGCCGAGCUCCUCCGCUACGCCUGCGGCGACGUCGGCAUCCCCACCGCGCUGCCCGUCAGCGCCGCCCCCAGGCUCUCCACGGCAAUGCCGAGCCCCGGCCAGUUCGCCACGUCCGCCGCCGGCAUGUACAGCGGCCGAAGGCUGGGGCUCGUCGACGGCAUAGCGCCGCCGCCGCCGCCUGCCGGCUGCUACUUCAUGCGGAACAACACCGUCAUCAGCAGCCCGGGCGCUGACGUGGCGCCCGUGCUGCCUUACGCUUCCAUGGCUAAUUGGGCCGUGAACGCCAUGAGCGCCACCACGACCACCACCUCCGGAUCAGAGAGCAUCGGGUUGGAUCACAAGGAAGGGGGAGACAGCAGCAUGUGAAGCGCCAUGAAUAGUAAGCGGCCGGCCGGCUUCAGUAAUUUUCUGCACUGCAAUCAUGCAUGCAUUAAGAUGAUGUGGAGGCAUGUGCUUCAGCCCCUUUGCCCUUGAUGAGCUGGGAGUGCAGUGCUUACUGAAGGAAGCUUCGGGGAUGGAGAGCAGCAGGGAGCUAGCCGAAUGCAAUCUCUCUCAGGUUGAUUAAGAGCUAAGGAGCAAUCUACCUAUCUAUAUCUAUCUAUCUAUCUUUCGCCGACAUGAGUUCUAUAUAUCUGCACUCCCUUUUUGCAUGUUGUGCAAACCAUACUUUGGAGUACUAAAUGUAAUCGAAUCGAGAUCUUGAUCUCUCUUCUUUCCAUGAUUACUUCUUCGUUUUCGCAGGA